AGAGAGGACAGGCUAUGUGAACAAACACCAUUGUAAAUACAACCCAUAUUUCUGCUUAUUUAUUUUCCCAUGUGUACUUUAACCAUUUGUACAUUGUUACAACACUGUAUAUAUAUACAUAAUAUGANNNNNNNNNNUGUCACCACUGGGCCCAUAUAUCACCACUGGGCCCACAUAUCGCCACUGGGCCCACAUAUCACAUAUUACCACUGGGCCCACAUAUCACAUAUAAUGUAUCACCUCUGGGCCCAAAUAUCACAUAUCACCACAGGGCCCACAUAUCACAUAUCAUCACUGGGCACACAUAUCACAGCUGGGCCCACAUUUAACAUAUCCCAUAACACAACUGGGACAAAAAAAUCACAUAUCAACACAGGGACAAAAUAUCACAUGUCACCACAGGGCCCAAAUAUCACAUAUCACCACUGGGCCCAAAUAUCACAUAUCACCACUGGGCCCACAUAUCACAUGUCACCACUGGGCCCAUAUAUCACCACUGGGCCCACAUAUCGCCACUGGGCCCACAUAUCACAUAUUACCACU
rnacentral:lncRNA from 13 species